UGUCUCCAAAGACAGAAAGGAAAGAAGGAAGAAAGGGAGGGAGGAAGAAAGAAAGGAAGGAAGAAAGAAUGAACAGCCACUCAGGGUGGGGAGGAAGCUCAGGGCUGCUCUGGCCCUGAAAUGUCAAGCAGCCAUGAGUAUGAAGACUGACCAGUCUCUGGAUUGGGUAUUUAUUUAUUUAUUUAUUUAUUUAUUUAUUUAUUUAUUUAUUUAUUUAUUUAUUUUUGAGGCAGUGUAUGGGGCCCCAGCCGGUUAUCUUUUAUAAACCAGGCUGGCCACACACUCACAGAGACCAUCCUUCCUCUGCCUCUCAAAUGCUGGGGCUAAAGGCGUGUGCUACUAUACUCAGCCUUCAGUUUAAUUUUUUAAUUAGAUUAAAGAUCUCAUGGGACCAAAGAGAAAUUCCCCUCAGGCCUGAGCUCUGGCUGUGUACUGAUGGAAUUUCUAGGACUGAAGGCAAGAAGCAGAACACAUGUGCAACUCAGCUGGCAAGAGCCUGGCAGGUGGUCAAGUAGGCAGCCAGCCCAGGCCUGGGAAUCGAGCACCCUAACCCAGGUUCUGGGAUGCCUAGAAGGAUCUAGGCUCCCUGUUUCCAAAUGCAUAGCAGUGGUGAGAUCCCGGUGGAAGGGGGAGGACCCCGACUGACAGUAAAGAGGAGAGCAGUGUGCAUCCCUCACACCACAGAGCACCCAGUGGGAGUGUGUCAGCACACAGGGAGACAUUAUAAGACUAACACAUUUGGGAGCUGACAACAGGUAAGGCGCCAUCCCUUCUGAGGUGAGUGGGCCAUGUUUCUUGGCAUCGCUGUUCUCACAGUCCUGCAGCGCUUGCUGCUCGUACCUGGGAAACAGACACUGUGAGAUCACCUCCAUGUCACUGGGGUCUGAGCCCUGGGAAGGUAGGAGAGGUGACCUUCCUUCCCUGGCACUGUCAGACUGGUUGAUCUGUAGGGGACUAGUUCUGAUGAUCAAGGCCAGGAUCCCAGGGAGGCUCAGGGACCAGCCAAGGGCGACUGGGAAGCCUGACCACCUUUCAUAGUUCCUCCUCUUCUCACAGGAGAGACGGGCUCUGUGGCACGGGGAAGGUUGGGGAUGGUCUAUGUAUGUAUGAAUGUAAUAAAGAAGGGUGAUGGGAAGGUCCUGGCUUGACCAAGGAUCCUUGGCAAGGCUCACCCCGCUGAGAGGGGCCCCCUGGAGGGGGGGAGUGUUCUGACAUUGGAGUUUACAGAGCCUUAGUGAAUGCUAAGGGAGGCAGGGACAAGCAGAUCUCUGUGAGUUCGAGGCCAGCCUGGUCUACCAGCUGGUUGAAAUGACUGAGGGGCACUAUUAGGCAGGGACAACAGAGGCUCAGAACUAGUUCCCCCAGGCCCCUUGCUGGUAGUAAUGGCUGGUUCAGGUUUUCUAGGUUUUUUGUUUGUUUGUUUGUUUUUGCUUUUUGUUUUUUUGGUCUUUCGAGACAGGGUUCCCUCUGUGUAGCCCUGGCUGUCCUGGAACUCACUUUGUAGACCAGGCUGGCCUCGAACUCAGAAAUCCUCCUGCCUCUGCCUCCCGAGUGCUGGGAUUAAAGGCAUGCGCCACCGCGCCCAGCUGUUUUCUUGGUUUUUAUUUUUAUUUUUGUUUGCUUGCUUGGCUCCCUGUGACCUGGCUGUAACUCACAGGGCUCCACCGGCCUCUGUCUUCUGAAUGCUGGGGUUAAAGGCGUGCACCCCCAUGCUUGCCUCCAAGAGGAAGUUCGGAGAAAGGCCUUGAACAUGAGGAGGGCCUCAGGCACCCCAGGGUCCUGAAGAGCUCAAACGGUUUCUAGGAGAGCCAUGGAAGGGCCUUAGCCUUCACAUGCGCGUCAGAUUUGAUGCUCCCUGAAGUCAGAAUGGUUAACUCAGCUUCGGUCAGCCAGGCCCAGGGAGACAUCUGUCACAAGCGACACACGUCCAAAGGCUUUGCUGGCAUUAGCACCGGUGUCUAAAGGAGAUUUUAUCACCAACCAAGCCUGGGAGGUCCAACUGAGGCAGAGACGGAGAAAUACAACAGAGAGUAGAUCUGCAGGCUGUGGUGGGAGGGGAGGGCUAGGACAUUCCCGGGGAGGUGCCUGGCUGGGCCAGGACAAGGACCUUGCCAGAAGGACCACCUAACUCAGAGAUGAGAUUGGAAUGGCUACGUGCUUGCUGCCAUGGGCCACUGAGGUCAGAGAAUUACCAGACAGGGGGGGCAGGGGUGAGUCUGGUGAGUCCAGUACUGACCGGCACUGGGAUCCUACAAGGGUGGUGUUGCUUUGGCCACUGUGGGAAACUAUGUAGCAGUACAGCAGGUCCCAGGAGCCCACUGCCAGACAGAAGCAUCAUGGUCUAUGCCAGGGCAGAGCAUUCUGUGAUGAGUCAAUACAUGGGUCCCCUCUCAGGGACAAGUCCUGGGUAACUAGGCUUGUGUCCCCUUCAGGUGUCUGUGAAGUCCUUCUCAAACAGACUGUGCACCCUUGUCUGCCCUGUGGCUCUCUUUCAUGGUCUCUUGUGCCUCCUAUGGACAAGCUACCCUGGCUUUAGGAAGUCAAAAUCAAGACUCACAACCCUCACCACAGUCCAAGAAGAAUGAAGCUCUAGAGCCUCAGGGAACGGCUGCUAUGGACAGCUGAGUGUCCCCGAGAGGUACCUAGGAUGCAAGCUGAAGGCAGUGCCCCUGACUGCCCUGGGAUGAACGCAAUCGCAGGAGCCCUAAAGUCAAGGAUGAUGGGAGGCUAGCUACAGGCUGGAAAGGGAAGGGGACAGUCUGCCAAGAACGUGUCAAGUUUCUUGGUUCCUACCCAAGGACAGAGUCCACUUGGUCCGGAGGGAAAGCAGGCUGUAGGCCCGUUGCUGGUUUAUUCAACCUGGUGCCAGGCCAGUGAUGGCUGGCCUGGAACAUGUCCAAGCCUGCUUCCCAUGCAUACAUGAGUGUCCUGGCGUCACAGUGGAGGUCCUGACCCAAAUGUUGGGGUCUUGGCACCAUCUAGUCCGUGCCACUUGGUCACUGCAGGCUGGCCACUUUGCCUGUGGGCAUUUGCCGCCACCGGCCUUUCAGUGACACAGGCUGACAGAUUGACUGUGGGACAGGGAUUAACAAGGGACAGUAAUGAGUGACUAGCAAUGGGAUGGAGCUGUGUGGGCCUGAUCUCCACCUCUCUACUGACCAUUUUGAUGACUGUAUCAACUGUGGACUGUAUUUCUGCUCAGCCUGGCUUACCGGACUGCCUCUCAAGGCCAGGAUACCAAGUGCUUCAUCUACACUGGCAGUUUCACCAAAGAGGGGGAACAACUUGUGGGGUACCCCUGGGGAUCCAAAAGGAACCUUGGAGCUAGGGGUCUUUGGAGGUUGUCUUUAAGCUGGACAUGCCCUGAAGGAGGCUGCUGCAAAGUUCUGCCCAGAGAGUUUCUUCUCACCAUGAGCCCGACCUGAAGCCAGGGACCUCUGGCACUCCUUUCCUGUGCGUCUCUUGGCCUUGGCACACCUGGCUGCGUGCUCAGAAGCUUCCAGGGAGCAAGGGAGAGCCAGUCUAGCCAGAUCCCGAGAAGAUCAGCUAGUAGUCUAACAUCCUGAGGGCAGAAAAAUAGCCUUAGAAUUGGGCGGUAACACCAAUAGUCUAAAAAUUACAGCACUGGGUGACAGAGUCAGGUGGAUCACUGAGGCCAGCCUGGUCUACACAGUGAGUUCAAGGCCAGUCUGGGCUACACAGAGAAACCCUGUCUAGGAAAAAACAAAACAAAAUUCAGAGCAGAAAGAAAGGGGCUUGGAAAGGGAAAUUCCUAGGGUCCAUGACAUUGGUGGAUAGAUCCAGAAGGCUCAAAGGAAAGUAUCCCUGAGCAAAGGUCGUGGGUCAGAAUUUGAGGAGUGGGACAGAUUUCAAUGAGGGGCCUGGAGUUGGGUGGGGAGCAUGAGGGGAGGAGCAAUCCUUCGGGCCUAGAGACUCAUCAGCAGGGUAUGAGACUGGUUAUUUAUCAUCCCAUAAGUUUCUGCUUGCCUCAGUUUCUCCAUCAGUGUGCAUUCCCCAGGAAAUGCCUGGGCUCUGAGCUCAUUAACCCCAGCUGUGCUGUCCUGUAAUGCGGUCACCCAUCCCUGGCUACUCUUGGUUUGCAGGAGUGCCCACCCAUGAGAUAUGUCACCUAUUCCAGGAGACUGAAGUGCUAAGGUGGACACUGUUCAGAAGUUAGAUUUCCUGUCUCCAGUGAUGCCUGAAAUCUGCUAAAAAUAUCUGUGCCCCCUGCCAGGGAGGCAGCUAUGACGGUGGCUGGGCUGCAGUGAUGAUGCUGAGCCCAGGGAGCAUCCGGCAGAGCCAGUUGCCAUGGUGAUGCUGACUCACAGGCAGAGGCAGGUAGUGGUAUCUGGUACCCGGCUGCCCGCCUCUGCAUGGCCAGCACUCAGCAUCCUGCCCAGCACCCACCCCACAGCCUCUGCGGGAAACAGGGUCGCUAUGGGGGCAGAGAACGUGCACAGGCUGCAUCCUCCACUGUCUCUAUGUCACUGACCUGUCAUAGCAGGAAGAUGUCAGAUGUGGUUUAGCUUCUAAUGACCUUGACUGGGGCCAAUAGGAUGCACGAACAUACAACCAUCUGCCUGACCUUUGAUCAACCCAUCCACCCACCCAUCCAGCUCUCAUGUCUGCUUGACCUCUCACCCACUCACCCACCCUGCUCUCAUCUGUCCUGUCUAACAAGCCCUUCAUUUCACAUUUACAAAACAUGUCCUGUGCACUAAUGUACUCAUAGUCAUGGUGGGGGAGCUGUGCUGGGUGAACCUCAUGGUCACUUGGACCCAUCCCUGGUGCUGGCUAAGACCCUACCUGUUCCUCAUUUUCUUGUCCCUGUCUCCCACUGUCCUCCAUUCCCACACCUCAGGUUGCCACAGCCACAUCAGCUGCAGCUAACACCCUUUUCCACCAUCCACCUAUAUCAGCUGAUUUCUGCCCCAGGGCCUUUGCACUUCCAAUUGCGGAAAGGACCCCUUUUUUUUCCUCAGCUGGCCUCUGGGCCUCCGGAUUCUUGGUUUCUUUAUAUUCUUCCAUCCUAGGUGAUGGUACCUGGCAGGCUGAUGCCAAGCACCUUGGGUUACACAGUGAGUGACACUAUCUGUAGACACAACAAAAGCAACAGUGCAUACAGAAAGGAGAUGGGUGGUGCACACCUAUUAAUCCCAGCACUCAGGAAGUGGAGGCAGGGCUAUCUCUCUUGACUUUCAGGUCAACCUGGAUGCCUGGAGCAUGAGGUCCUAAACUUGAUCCAUAAAUUCCGGGUCCCCCCUCCCCAGAACUGGGGAGGGAGAGACAGACAGAUCCCUGGAGCUUACUGGAAACUAUAGAGCAAAGAAAGGCUUGGUGGGGUGAGAUAGCUCAGCAACUACAGAAGAUUGUCAACCAAACUAAACCAGGCAACCUGAGUUUAAUCCCCUGGUACCCACAUGGUAGAGGGAGGGAACUCCAACAUAUUGUCCUCUGACCUACACACACACACACACACACACACAGAGUGUAUAAACAGAGAAAUUAAAACCACUUUUGAGAAC